rnacentral:tRNA from 1 species
GUAUCAUUAGCUCAGCUGGUAGAGCAUACGACUCUUAAUCGUACGGUCAUGAGUUCGAUCCUCAUAUGAUACACCA